UACGUAGGGACCAAGCGUUGUUCGGAUUUACUGGGCGUAAAGGGCGCGUAGGCGGCGUGGUAAGUCACUUGUGAAAUCUCUGAGCUUAACUCAGAACGGCCAAGUGAUACUGCUGUGCUAGAGUGCAGAAGGGGCAAUCGGAAUUCUUGGUGUAGCGGUGAAAUGCGUAGAUAUCGAAGAGGGAACACCUGAGGUGAAGACGGGUUGCUGGGCUGACACUGACGCUGAUGCGCGAAAGCCAGGGAGCAAACGGG
rnacentral:rRNA from 1 species